UACGUAGGGUGCGAGCGUUGUCCGGAAUUAUUGGGCGUAAAGAGCUUGUAGGCGGUCUGUCGCGUCUGCUGUGAAAAUCCGGGGCUCAACCCCGGACUUGCAGUGGGUACGGGCAGACUAGAGUGUGGUAGGGGAGACUGGAAUUCCUGGUGUAGCGGUGAAAUGCGCAGAUAUCAGGAGGAACACCGGUGGCGAAGGCGGCAUCCUGGACCAACACUGACGCUGAGGAGCGAAAGCCAGGGGAGCAAACGGG
rnacentral:rRNA from 1 species